rnacentral:lncRNA from 1 species
CCAUCCCGAAAUAGGAACAAACAUAUAUUUAGUUAAAUACUGCAAUUGGGGUUUGAACAAGGGAUUAGAAGCAAGUGUAGAUACUGAUCGUUUGUUUGCUGUAGGAGCUGACGAAAGAGGUGGUAGAUUCAAAGUUAUGAGAUCUUUGAAUCAAUUAACAGUGGUGGGUUUGUUUACAUUUGUUCCAACCAAAAUUAACAUAGUUUAAUUUCUACAAUUAAUGGGCCAAUUUCGUGGUUAGUUA